rnacentral:rRNA from 1 species
UACGAAGGGGGCUAGCGUUGUUCGGAAUCACUGGGCGUAAAGGGCGCGUAGGCGGCUUUAUAAGUCGGGGGUGAAAGCCUGUGGCUCAACCACAGAAUUGCCUUCGAUACUGUAUGGCUUGAGACCGGAAGAGGUAAGUGGAACUGCGAGUGUAGAGGUGAAAUUCGUAGAUAUUCGCAAGAACACCAGUGGCGAAGGCGGCUUACUGGUCCGGUUCUGACGCUGAGGCGCGAAAGCGUGGGGAGCAAACGGG